rnacentral:rRNA from 1 species
GAUGAACGCUAGCUACAGGCUUAACACAUGCAAGUCGAGGGGCAGCGCAGUGUAGCAAUACAUGGGCGGCGACCGGCGCACGGGUGCGUAACGCGUAUCCAACCUUCCCGUUACUCUUGGAUAGCCUUCCGAAAGGGAGAUUAAUACAGGAUGGUAUUCAAAUUCCGCAUGUUAUUUGAAUUAAAGAUUUAUCGGUAACGGAUGGGGAUGCGUGACAUUAGGUAGAUGGCGGGGUAACGGCCCACCAUGCCCACGAUGUCUAGGGGUUCUGAGAGGAAGGUCCCCCANACUGGAACUGAGACACGGUCCAGACUCCUACGGGAGGCAGCAGUGAGGAAUAUUGGUCAAAUGGUCGGAAGACUGAACCAGCCAAGUAGCGUGAAGGAAGACUGCCCUAUGGGUUGUAAACUUCUUUUGUUCGGGAAUAAAGUGCAGUACGCGUACUGUUUUGUAUGUACCGUAUGAAUAAGCAUCGGCUAACUCCGUG